UACGGAGGGGGUUAGCGUUGGUCGGAAUUACUGGGCGUAAAGCGCACGUAGGCGGACUAUUAAGUCAGGGGUGAAAUCCCGGGGCUCAACCCCGGAACUGCCCUUGAUACUGGCAGUCUAGAGUUCGAGAGAGGUGAGCGGAAUUCCGAGUGUAGAGGUGAAAUUCGUAGAUAUUCGGAGGAACACCAGUGGCGAAGGCGGCACACGGGCUCGAUACUGACGCUGAGGUGCGAAAGUGUGGGGAGCAAACAGG
rnacentral:rRNA from 1 species